rnacentral:rRNA from 1 species
AUUGAACGCUGGCGGCAUGCUUUACACAUGCAAGUCGAACGGCAGCGCGGGCUUCGGCCUGGCGGCGAGUGGCGAACGGGUGAGUAAUGCAUCGGAACGUGCCCAGUAGUGGGGGAUAGCCCGGCGAAAGCCGGAUUAAUACCGCAUACGACCUGAGGGUGAAAGCGGGGGGCCGAAAGGCCUCGCGCUAUUGGCGCGGCCGAUGUCGGAUUAGCUAGUUGGUGGGGUAAAGGCUUACCAAGGCGACGAUCCGUAGCUGGUCUGAGAGGACGACCAGCCACACUGGGACUGAGACACGGCCCAGACUCCUACGGGAGGCAGCAGUGGGGAAUUUUGGACAAUGGGGGCAAGCCUGAUCCAGCCAUGCCGCGUGCGGGAAGAAGGCCUUCGGGUUGUAAAACGCUUUUGUUCGGGAAGAAAUCCUCUGGGCUAAUACCUCGGGGGGAUGACGGUACCGGAAGAAUAAGCACCGGCUAACUACGUG